GAUGAAGAACGUAGCGAAAUGCGAUACUUGGUGUGAAUUGCAGAAUCCCGUGAACCAUCGAGUCUUUGAACGCAAGUUGCGCCCGAAGCCAUUAGGCCGAGGGCACGCCUGCCUGGGUGUCACACACCGUUACCCUCGCGCCAACGUCCAUCGUUGGCCGCGGCGCGGGGCGUGUGCUGACCUCCCGCGAGCGGGGUCUCGUGGUUGGUUGAAAAUCGAGUUCGCGGUCGAGGGUGCCGUGAUGAAAUGGUGGAUGGGCGACGCCCGAGGCCAAUCACGCGCGACUCCGUCCGGCUCGGACUCCUGGACCCCUUCGGCGUCUCCGGACGCUCUUUGGCGAGACCUCAGGUCAGGCGGGGCUACCCGCUGAGUUUAAGCAUAUCAAUAAGCGGAGGA
rnacentral:misc_RNA from 1 species